CUCUGCCCUUGCUCUUUUUUUGCCCUUGUUUAAAUUCCCAGUGUUUGCAUAUGGUUUAUAUUACUAAAGAAUUAAAGCUUUGCGCUCGAAAGAUGGAAAGAAAAAUUCACAAGUAAAACAUAGGUCAGAUAUGUUAUGAAUGGCCAUUUAAUGUAUAUACAAAAGCCAGUAUAUUUGGAUUAGGUGAGCAAGUUCUUAGUGUCCUGAUUUCCACUGAUAUCUGCCUGUGUGCAAAUGGAGUAUAUUAUUUGCUACAUGUUUACCAUGGUAUAAUGUGCAAAUUUUAGUAUGUGUGUUAUCCUGGUGAUUGGACACUCUGAUAUCCAUAUCAGGAACAGAGCUUGCACAUCUAUCAUGGAAUUUUUUUAAAUUAUUUUCACAAAGGUUGCAUUUCCCUAAGUAGCACUUUUGAAACCAGGGGUGGAAGAAAACUGCUAUUCCCUGAUCCCUCUCCUAUAUGAUAUACAUCUGCCUGAAGUUGUAUAAAGACAUUUAGGUAGCUAAUGGGCAUGUUAAUAUGAACGUUCUCAUGCAAGAGUCAUUUUCAGAAUGAAAAUAUUUUUCCUUCCCCAAAGUGAGAAUAGCAGAAAUAUUGGAGACCUGAGCACCAUAGUUACAUAGACUAUUUCCCUGCUAAGGUCUAGUUUGAAGGAACAAACUUGAAAACAAACCCAUGAGGUUGAGCCUCGUUGCUAUAAAGACUUUGUGGUGGUAUGUGUUUUGGGGAUGCGCUGUGGAAGGUUUAGUUGACUUCUAGAGCUGGAGAGUCUUACUCUUUCAAAAUGGACAUAAGCUGGUGCGUAUGGUGCUUUGCAGGGCAGCCGAGAGUAAGGAUCCAAGACGCUACAGCCCCGUGGCCUUUACAAACACUCGCACAAUUUCUAAAGGGGAAGUUACUGUGGCCUUGGUUUCCCAGUUCCUCCUGGGUCUGGUCAAAUCCCAGGUGACAGAAACUGAAGCCGAGUUAAGGGUCGUAUCUGCUCUGUAGUGUGGAGGCCAGCACCGGGCUAGCAGCCUGGAGGGAGUGAGCCCACCGAAUACGCAGAGCCCAGAGUCACUGUCCAUGUUUCUAGAGAACAAUGUGAAGAGUCCUAGAAAAGGAACUCACCAGACUGUCAGGGGCCGAUGUAGCCAAAAUGUCACUGAAUAGAAAAAAAAUCUUGUCUUCAGUCCUCAUGCUUUGUCACUGUAAAGCGAACGAAAAGCAUUUUUACUAUAAUUUAAAGGAGCUGCUUUUUUUUAUAGCACAUACUAUUUCGCUUUGUACUCUCUUUGAUAGUUGCAGAAUAAUUUAGACUGUAGAAAAAACUUUGUUGUAUUUGUACUGUUCAUGAAUGUUUCAAAGAAAGUGCUUUACUUGGUUGCCAUAAUUUUUCUUGUACUGCUGUAUUUUUCCCCCUGGCUUCAUGGAAACCUAAUCUGACUCAUAUUUUCAGUAUACUUUUUUAAUGUGUGUGUGUGUAUUUUUUUUCCCUUUUUUCCCCUUUGGUCAGUAUUCUGAAUGUUUACAUCUGUUUGACAUUAGCCAUUUAAUGCCUUUUUUAAAAGGCGGUAUUACUCUUACAGUGUAACAGCAAAAUGUGAAUCAACCCAAACAUAACAUGCAUGACAAAUACAGAUUUGGGGGCAAAGGCCCGGAACGUACACAGACAUUUUAUAUCAGCAUACAGCAAAGUCCAACCCUCCUUCAGCCCUCUACCAAAGAAUAUAUUAUUCCCACAGGAAAAACUCAGAAAAGGUGUGUAAAAUCCUCAGAAGGGGGAGCAGUUGAAUCAGUAAGACUGCUACAAUUUAAUACUGUUAUGCUUGCUUUGAUACCUGACUAAAUGUGACGGAGUGCAACAAGCAUUGAAACAAUUUUUAGGCAGUGUUUUGUUUAGAAUUCAGGGAUCAUGCAUUCUUUAAUGGUGCUGUUUGUUUUUUAUUUCUUUUCUACAAAGAAAAAAGUGUUGCCUAAAAAAGUGACUGCUCACGAUACCAUAAGUUAAAUGAAAUGUUUGUCUUUUCAUGUUUCUGUUUUUCCCUUUCUCUAAAGUAAUGAUUUGGGUUUCAAUAUUAAAAUAUUCUGGGAGAAAAUAAAGAAAUUCAACCUUAAA
ensembl:lncRNA